rnacentral:rRNA from 1 species
GACGAACGCUGGCGGCGUGCUUAACACAUGCAAGUCGAACGGAAAGGCCCUGCUUUUGUGGGGUGCUCGAGUGGCGAACGGGUGAGUAACACGUGAGUAACCUGCCCUUGACUUUGGGAUAACUUCAGGAAACUGGGGCUAAUACCGGAUAGGAGCUCCUGCUGCAUGGUGGGGGUUGGAAAGUUUCGGCGGUUGGGGUUGGACUCGCGGCUUAUCAGCUUGUUGGUGGGGUAGUGGCUUACCAAGGCUUUGACGGGUAGCCGGCCUGAGAGGGUGACCGGCCACCUAGGGACGGACAUAGGCCCCGCCCCCCCACGGGCGGGAGGCAGGGGGAAUGUAUACCAAUGGAGGGGCGAAAGCCGGAGCAAGCCCGGGGGCGGGAGGGAGGACUUCGGUAUGUAAACAGAUUUCGCUUGUGCCGAAGGGUAAGGACGGGACAUGGAUAAAAAACCCCGGGUAAAUCCGUG